rnacentral:lncRNA from 1 species
GCUCUUCAACUUUGUACAUGUUUUGGCUGUAUCAAUAUUUCGAUUUGAGCGUCACUGAUGAGUCUUAUGUAGACGAAACGCGCGUCUGGCGUACUAAAUUAUAAUCCUGGUACUUUUGAUAACUAUUCAACUCCUGCCAGGUACUUCUAUACUUCGAUCAAAACCCUAAUACAAUUAUUAAAUUAUUAAAAAUACACGUAAUUAGAAAAUUCAUAAUUAAUAUCUUAUCUAACUUCAGUAUAAUAACCAUAUUUUGGAUCAACGUUUAAAACAUAUGAACUUAUCCCAAGUCAGGAGCCUCUGGCCUUUG